ACCUACGGGAGGCAGCAGUAGGGAAUCUUCCACAAUGGGCGAAAGCCUGAUGGAGCAACGCCGCGUGGGUGAAGAAGGUCUUCGGAUCGUAAAACCCUGUUGUUAGAGAAGAAAGUGCGUGAGAGUAACUGCUCACGUUUCGACGGUAUCUAACCAGAAAGUCACGGCUAACUACGUGCCAGCAGCCGCGGUAAUACGUAGGUGGCAAGCGUUAUCCGGAUUUAUUGGGCGUAAAGGGAACGCAGGCGGUCUUUUAAGUCUGAUGUGAAAGCCUUCGGCUUAACCGGAGUAGUGCAUUGGAAACU
rnacentral:rRNA from 1 species